UGGCUAGAAGGCACCUGUGAGUUAUGAAUUUUAAAGUGAUCAUUUUCCUCCUUUCAACCAAUGGUGGACAAUGGGGGAUCUCCUUUUGACUCAGUUUCACAGCCCUGAGAGGCUCUCAGAUCGGCCACAUUCCAACAGGAUUGGAGUCAGAGCAGAGCUGUGCUGGAUUGCAUCAGUGUCGCUCACAGAAAGACAAGGAGCAGAUGGCCAGCAUUGAAAUCCCCUCCUCUUUUCAGCCUGCAAAGGAAGGCAAUGUGGGAAAGCAUUUCCCCGACAUUGCCUAUUGAUUCCUGAAUAGGACCACCACAUGCCACCAGCCUGUAGGUAUGGACUUCUGAAAACAGAUGGUUAAUCAAAGGUGUUGGCUGGUCGGCGGUCGGAGGUCUGGGCGGUGGGCGUGGUGAGGACUGCAGCAGGUUCGGGCUGCGAGGGAAGCAGACAUCAGGGAAAGGGGUCUCUUGGGACUCUUUUUGGCUUAUCCGCCAUUUUGGACAGUAACUUUUCCUUUUUUUAGAAAACUACCAACAGGAGGGAACUGCCUGGUGUGGUUUUUAUUUUUUGUGGUGUUCCCUAUCUUUUUUUUUAACUUGUGGCUGUGUGGUUUAGUAUUCUAUUUUAACCCUGUUGAGAAACAAUUGUUUUUACCUAUCCAAGCAUCAAGUAUGUGCAUAUUGGAACCCGGGGAUAAAAAGAACCUGCAUAGGGGAAAUUAUUAUCUACUCGGUCAUCAAGGUCCUUGUCCUUGCCAAACCCAAAGUGGCGUAGUCGUUACAAAUUCUAAAAGCAGGUUUACUACGGUUACCCCUGGUUACCCUACCCGUGACGCAGGCAGAUUUUCUACAAAGAGAUCGCUCAGCGUAGACCAUGACCUUGACUCUACUGGGGAAUGGAUUGUCCAAGGAGUGCCACCAAACACAGGAAGGCAGUUACCUAAAAUAAAAAUCUAUUUGUAAACCAAAAAAUGUCUUCAGUGUCAAUAAUUCUCUACACCAACCCGUUACCACAAAAAAGGUAGCUCGAACACAGUUCAACAGUGGCAGGUGAUAAUAAAACAAAAUCCCCAAAAAACACAAAAUCCAAAGAAACAAAAAUCCAUACAAAAAUAUCCCAAAUCCCGCUGCAACAAAGUCCCAAAU